rnacentral:rRNA from 1 species
GACGUAGGGCGCGAGCGUUAUCCGGAAUUAUUGGGCGUAAAGAGCUCGUAGGCGGCUUGUCGCGUCGUCCGUGAAAACCUGCAGCUCAACUGCAGGCAUGCGGUCGAUACGGGCAGGCUGGAGUUCGGUAGGGGAGACUGGAAUUCCUGGUGUAGCGGUGAAAUGCGCAGAUAUCAGGAGGAACACCGGUGGCGAAGGCGGGUCUCUGGGCCGCAACUGACGCUGAGGAGCGAAAGCAUGGGGAGCGAACAGG